rfam:Citrus clementina cultivar Clemenules unplaced genomic scaffold scaffold_6, whole genome shotgun sequence.
AAACCGUGAUGUGGGCAAAUGUUAAGUAGUUCUUUAAACCUAUCCCAACAUUGAUAGAGAGUUUCUCCUGGUUUUUGAGUGAAUGUGGUGAUUUGUCUUUUGAAAGAAU